UUGGGAAUUUUGCACAAUGGACGAAAGUCUGAUGCAGCAACACUGCGUGAAGGAUGAAGGUUUUCGGAUCGUAAACUUCUUUUAUCUGGGAAUAAUCUUGAAGGUACCAGAUGAAUAAGCACCGGCUAACUACGUGCCAGCAGCCGCGGUAAUACGUAGGGUGCAAACGUUAUCCGGAUUUAUUGGGCGUAAAGAGCUCGUAGGUGGUUUUGUAAGUUGGGUAUUAAAUACUCCGGCUCAACUGGAGGAAAGUAUUCAAAACUGCAAGACUAGAGAUAUGCAGGGGAGGAUGGAACUUACGGUGUAGCAGUGAAAUGCGUAGAUAUCGUAAGGAACGCCGAUGGUGAAGACAGUUCUCUGGGCAUUAUCUGACACUGAGGAGCGAAAGCGUGGGGAGCGAACGGG
rnacentral:rRNA from 1 species